rnacentral:rRNA from 1 species
AUUGAACGCUAGCGGGAUGCUUUACACAUGCAAGUCGAACGGCAGCGCGGACUUCGGUCUGGCGGCGAGUGGCGAACGGGUGAGUAAUGUAUCGGAACGUGCCCAGUAGCGGGGGAUAACUACGAGAAAGCGUAGCUAAUACCGCAUACGCCCUACGGGGGAAAGCAGGGGAUCGUAAGACCUUGCACUAUUGGAGCGGCCGAUAUCGGAUUAGCUAGUUGGUGAGGUAACGGCUCACCAAGGCGACGAUCCGUAGCUGGUUUGAGAGGACGACCAGCCACACUGGGACUGAGACACGGCCCAGACUCCUACGGGAGGCAGCAGUGGGGAAUUUUGGACAAUGGGGGCAACCCUGAUCCAGCCAUCCCGCGUGUGCGAUGAAGGCCUUCGGGUUGUAAAGCACUUUUGGCAGGAAAGAAACGUCGCGGGCUAAUACCCCGUGGAACUGACGGUACCUGCAGAAUAAGCACCGGCUAACUACGUG